GGGGGUAUAGCUCCGGGGUAGAGCAUUUGACUGCAGAUCAAGAGGUCCCUGGUUCAAAUCCAGGUGCCCCCU
rfam:Tupaia chinensis contig187137, whole genome shotgun sequence.